rnacentral:rRNA from 1 species
UGGGGAAUCUUCCGCAAUGGGCGAAAGCCUGACGGAGCAACGCCGCGUGGGGGACGAAGGCCUUCGGGUCGUAAACCCCUGUCAUGGGGAAAGAGGGGCGUCGGGGUGAACAGCCCCGGCGCUUGACGGUACCCCAAGAGGAAGCCACGGCCAACUCCGUGCCAGCAGCCGCGGUAAUACGGAGGUGGCAAGCGUUGUUCGGAAUCACUGGGCGUAAAGGGCGCGUAGGCGGGGAGGUAAGUCGGGUGUGAAAUCCCUCGGCUCAACCGAGGAACGGCGCCCGAGACUGCUUCUCUUGAGUCCCGGAGAGGAAGGUGGAAUUCCCGGUGUAGCGGUGAAAUGUGUAGAGAUCGGGAGGAACACCGGUGGCGAAGGCGGCCUUCUGGACGGUGACUGACGCUGAGGCGCGAAAGCGUGGGGAGCAAACGGGAUUAGAUACCCCCGUAGUCC